rnacentral:lncRNA from 1 species
UAGGUCUUAAACUCUAGAAAGGAUCGAAACCAGGUAGGUAGCUCUAGAUAUUAAAAACAUGUGCUCAUAACUUUCCAGGUUGUGACAUGUCAUCCAUCACAACUAAGGAGAAACUUUGGGGUGCAUUUAUUCUCAACUCAUCUACGAUGGAGCUCUAGUUUAUUGGUAGUGGAGAUAGCUAGUGUGCAUCCAUAUCCUUGAUCUUCAGCCUGAGCAUGGCAUUUCUGUUCCAAACAAAAUAAGAAAACACAAAGGAUCAGGGAUGAAGACGAUUAAGAACAAGUGGAACAAGACAAAUUGAUAAGGCAAGUAAUUGUGCAACAACAUUCAAAUGUAAUGUGUCACUCAAAAUGCAGAAUGAUAUAAUUGACCAAGCAAUGAUGACUAGAUGUUUCCAUACCCCAAACGUGGUGUAUUUUUCCUUCUACAACAUGAAAAGUAAAGAAACAAUAGUCAAUGAGGGUAAAAGUCACCAAUGGGGAGUUUUUAGAUAGGAUUAUACACUUGACAUGUAGGGCGAAAAUAUCAUUGUGGUAUAUCGAAAUUGAAAAACAUUCAACAACACAAGUGUGCCGGUGUAAGCUAUGUUAUCCAGAAUUGAUAGGUCUGUGAAUAAUGGCAUGCUUAAAUAGACAUACAUGGAAAUUUUAUUCCAUGACACUACCGUAUCCUUUCUCGCAAAAAGAACAACUACAGUAUUCUAAAAAACUGCAAGUAUCUACAUCCAGAGUAACAUGAGUGAGGUUCACCAUUCGAGCUUAGCCUACUGGUGAUAAGAAUUCAUAUAAUGUGAUAUCAAUAUAUGAGAAAUGAAGAAGCUGCAAUACAUGAAAUUCCAUUAUUCAACUGCUAAUCCCUCCCUCUGAUUUCCCGUAUAUAUAACCCAAGACAACAACAACAGUCAUGACCACGUAGACAAAAGAGCAAUUGUAGCGUUUAUAAAUCAUGCUACAGGUAGAGAAAACAUCUCAAUUGUUGCUUACUAGUCUUCCUAAAAUGGCCCGAGGAAUCAAUUAUGUACCUACCACCAUUCCAUGAAUGUACUACACCAUGAUUGUUGAUGAACCAUUAACUAAAAUAAUAGAGGACUAAUAGUUUGGCAAUGCCAUUCAUUCUGCAACUACACCAGAUAUGUUGGUGUAUUGAUCUAAGCUACAGAUUUUAGCUUUAUUGCACACAACAAGACAAAGCAAUGAAAUAGAAAAUAGAUUGAUAGAGUGUACAAUUCAAAAAACAUUAUAACCUCAACAAGACAAUAGAUUAUAUGAAGGCCAAAAAACAAUCCUUGUAGGAUCAUCCUUGAGUGCAGGAAAUACGGGAGGCCAGAUCAUCAUAAGAGGAUGGAUUUCAUAGAAAAAUUUAUCACCGUCUUCCUUCUCAUACACCUUAUGCAUUGUUCUGCGCUCGAUGUCCAAGAGGAAUGUGCAUCGACCCAUGUCCAAGAACACAAACUCAGCAUUGUCUCCUGCCUGGUUUAUUAGGAGAGAAGCAUUGCCAUCUGACACACUCAAAUCAGCAAACAUCUCGCGCAAUAAAAUGGUGUCCGUCAGCAACCAUGUGUACCCAUCGUGGAGCCAGAUGCGUAGUUGAAACUUCUUGACAUGGAUAAGAUAUACACCAACAACAUCAUCGGCCUGUGACAAUAUGGUGUUUCUCUCACCAUAUUCCAUCCCUUCUGGGAGCUCAAUUAUGGAGAAACUUGAGGCCGCCAUAUCCAAGACAAUAAUGUUGCUCCAGCCAGCUGGCACAUAGAUUUUAUUGUUGGACAACACAGAUUUAAGUACUGACCAUGGACGAGGGGGCUCCUGUAUGAUCAAGCUAUGAUUCAUGCGCCAUAUGCCAUGUUUCAAGAUAUAUAUGUAUACCCUAUGUUUUCCAUUCGUUGUUUGGUGCAUCAACACAUACAAGUAAGACAAGGCAUCGCCCUCUUCUUUGGACAUGAUUCUAGAGUAAGCAGUACCGUCAAAUAAGUACGGAGAUUGGGGGCGUGGAAACGGUGGGAGGAUGUCCAUGCCUCUCUCAGGACACACCACUUGGUGCACUGCAAACGUGGUUCCAAUUUCAUCAUGCUGCCUAAUGAGUAUGUUGCCAUUCUGACAACCAAGGAUGUAGGUUGGUACCGACGGUACUCUCUGAUAGGUGCCCAUGCUAGAGGUUGCGCGACGGAUGACAGCAGUGAGUUCACGGGGCUGAGGCAAUAUUGGGAUGAAGUGCGGGGUGCUCUGACCUUUGUUGAUGUAGAAGCCAAGAAGGCGGGGCGGGUGGAUCUCACGAAAUUGACGGAGGAAGGCACGGUUGGAGGCAUGGGCGAGCCAGCGUGUGCAUACGAGGGCGGAGUUGAGAAGGGUGGUGGUGAAGACGGUGCGGAGGAGGAUCUCACUUAGGAGGUCAUCGUCCUCGAGCACCUUGGAUAUCGCCGCCAUUGAUGUUGGGGAACGCCGGUCAAACUGGGGUUAGGGGAGAAGAAUUGCAGGUCGAUGCCGGGGACGGGUGAGGUGAAGUCGCCGACGAAAUUGUGACACUCAUCCUUUAAUUGCUUACGUUUCAGGCAAGUGAAGAAACGGCUUCUGGCACCUACAGCAAAAAUAAAUGACCAGCCAGCCUGGCCAAUUAAACCAAAAAGGUAACUGUCGUAGUGUGCAAUAACUGUGGUCCACCUGCUUUUAUGUUCCGUUUUAUUGCGCUGGCGUGUGUUGCUUGCCUUUGUGAUCCCCACACCGGUCCACUACGAAUAGGGAGGGGCAUGGCCGUCACUUUGCACAAAGCAGCUAUUGAGCGAUCCUGCCGAAAGGUUUUGUACGGAUUUUACUGAUUUAUGUAUAAACAUUUUAGAAGGUUAUGGUAUGUUUUCGCUAUUUUUAAUGGUUUUUUGUUUUCUAAAAAAAUGUCCAUAAACAUUCUGAAUCUCAAAAUUUUACUCUGAAUUUUUAAAAGUUCAUCCUUAUAAAAAAUAUACUCCCUGCGUCCCAAAAUAAGUGACUCAACUUUGCACUAAAGUUAGUACAAAAUUUAGUCACUUAGUUUGGGACAGAGGGAACAUUUUUUGAUUUGUUUGUAAGAAAUGUUUGGAAUUUCAAAAUAUAUUCGUGUUUUAAAAAAAUCCCAAAAAUGUUCACCUUUCAAAAAAUGCUCGCGUCUUCCAAAAAAAUUGUAAACAUUUCAAAAAGGUUCAAAAUUUUCAAAUAAAGAUAAAAAUCUAAAAAUAUGUUCACACUUUUGUAAUUUUUUUGUGAUUUUCAGUAGGCUAAAUGAAAACAAAAUAAGCACUCCUGCCGAUCGAUAUUAAUUGUCGCCGACUUAAUAAAUCCACAGCAGUUAAUAUGGAUUAGAGGGGGUUCUAAAAAAGUGUGGUGCUAUAGUGUCUACUUCUUCACAUUUUUACUUGUCUCUCCCCGACACAUAGGCAAAAGUGCCAUGCAAGCGGGCUUAUAGCCCACUAGUAUAUUUGCUCUUAUAUUGUUAACUGCUAAUCUAAGACCGGUUUAAAGCGUGUUCUAGUCUAUCUGGAUUGAGCGAGGGUGGUGACGUGUCAUGCACUCAUAUCAUCAUCCUUCACUCAUAACUAGAUAGCUUCUUCUGCUUGUUUUGACUUUACACUUAUCUUGACAUGAAUAAUCUACAUAGUACUGUCAACUCUGACUAUUCGAAAGUUGCCACUUAGAAACAGUACAUACGGCAAAAUUACACCGCAAAAUAAUGGUUAAUUCAAUAUACAAGCCACGUCCGCAAUGGCAUUUAUCAAAGUAUCAAUGCUGGCAAUGCAAUGGUUAAAAGUUUCUCCAAGUGAUUUUUUGCGUGGUCUGAUCAAAAUUUCAAUCAACGAGUCGAUCUUGUAUGGUUUGUGUGGUAGGGUCAAUUUUCUCAAGGAAAAUGGAUAAGGUUGAACAGUGCUAAAUACACAGUUGUUUUCUCACCAAUAAUUCGACCGAUCAGAUCAUGGGCACCGCCGUCAGUUGCAAGAAUAAAUGAUGCAAAAUCGAAAACACAAUUUCUUGUCUCACAACGAGCAACUGAGUUAAUUGUAAGAAACCACUACAUUGAAGGCUAGAUCAGCAGAAAACGUGAAUUUACAUUUUUUUUUUAAAAACAGCAUGUCUAAAGUAAUUGUUUGGCAAAUAACACUGAUUCGCGGUGGAUUAGACUUAUUUGAGCGUGUUUAUGGCAGGCUGGUCCCGCAUCUCGCUUACAUGGCAUAACAGUUCACGGAGACGGGGGUUGGUCUAAAUUUACCAAAUAGUCCCAAAUUUUUUACAUAGGCACCCUUUACACAAAAACUAAAGCGAUCAGCCCGUGCAUAGAACUGUAGCACUGUGCCAUGUGCUGCCGGUAUCCCGCCUGUCGCCGCCGCUAGGUGGUCGCAGCCGGUCGUUGCGCUGCCGCCGCGCCUGACGGCAUGGAGCCCAUGGCGACGAACCGCACGCCGCCGGGAGCAGCUGCCCGUGCAUGGCCCUGCAGGACACCCUCCGCCACCACCGACACCGAGGCGGUCAACGCCGGCAGUCUUUCAAGUAGGCGAGCGCCGUAUAUGGGUAUGUCUAGCCGGUGGCUAGAAUAGAUUCAACAACUAGCUCCUGUGCUUGUACGUCCGCAUCCAACCGGGAGGAAUCAAUCAACCCACACCUAGAUCCGCAGUAGACGCCUUUUGAGAUUGUUUUCUCCAUGUGUUCUUUCCUAUUGUACUGGACAGGGCUGCAGGAGGAGGAGGGCGCCAAGGAGCUGCGAAGCGGUGCUGAGAUGAUCAGGUCGAGCACGAUGCGCAUGAUGGAAAUGUGCAAUGCGGUGAGAGUGUCGAUCGGGGGAGAUUGAAGGUCUGCAAAAAUCUUGUUGGCUAGAGCUGGGCAAUCCUACGAUCCUGUGACGGCAUUUUGGUUCUUUUGUGGAUGUCUCAUGUCUUUGUGUGUAGUAAAAACUUAAGGGUGUUUGCUAUGGAUAUUCGGUGCUGUCUAGGUUUUCGCCCCAUGGCAUUCGUUUCGAUGGCGAGCGAAUGCAGUGGGUUUCCUGGCAGUGCCCAGACUCGCUUUACCUCUUUCCCUUCUCCUGUCAUGUUUCUGAACUUUGUAUUUUCGUUCAUUUGCAAUGGAAAAGGGUAUAGCCCGGUUCGAAAAAAAAGAUCCGCAGUAGACAAAGUACUUCUUGCAACAUCGAGCACUAUGCAUGCGUGCUAGUUGUUGCUGCUGCUUGCGGGAGAUGCGGCGGCCACCUCGUUCGCGAGGCGGAUGAGGCGCCAUCGGGUUCUUGGUAGGCAGUGGCGGCGCCAGAAAAUGAAGGCUGCGUAUUCAUUCAAAUUUUUUUUUGCUCUAAAUAUAGUAUAUGAACCAAACAACAGACCACUAGCAAUAUAGAUGAACAAAACAACAUUAGCAUACUAGAUGGAUGCAAAAUGUCCAGAGCGGAGCCGUGGAGGUGAGCCGGGAGGGGCUGGGCGCCUACUUGGGCCGGGGAGCCGCCAACCAGGAGGUCGGAGGCUGACCGGCGCCUGACGAAGCCGCAUCGCCGCAGAGGUCGGCGCAUAGCGGCAGAGGGUCGGAGGGCGUCUGGGCAAGGGCGGGCCAGCAUGGGAGGGAGAGGGAGAGGGCGGCCGGAGGGGAGGGGACUGAGGGGUGAGGCGAGGGAGGAAGGAGAGGGCCGACCUGGCCGCCGGAGCCAGACCUGAUUCCAGGGGAGGCUGAAUCGGGGGAGCUAGGUUUGGGAAAAGGGGAUCGAUUGAAACUGGGGCUUGGCCGCUCGGGGCAGUACUGAAUCGAGGAAGGGAGACGAGCCACUCGUGCGCCUAGCCACUUAGCCAGACGCUGACUGGGUCGUGUCUGCUCCCAUGCGUAGCUUUUUUGCCGUGGCCCUAUCCCUUCUACCGUAUAUGUACUAUUUUUUUUACGCGAAAUACUUGGGUAUUCCAGGGAAGUCCCAGGAAGACCCCAGCGUCGCCACUGUUGGUGGGGAGACCGGGCAGAGAGCGGCGUGGCGGUGGAGACCACCAUACACUGCAUUGCGAGCAUGCUAGGAGGUUUUGAGGCGCCGGCCGCGGAUCCGGCAUGGGGCAUGGCGUUAGAAGGGCGGGGGCUAUCUGUUCUGCAGCGGGGGAAGGUUUGGGAACGGUCGGCGGCCCAGGGAGAAAGUUUGGCACAUUUUUGCAAAAGACCCGCCGUCUCUUGUGAACUGUUACGCCACCUAUGCAAAAAAUGGGGCCCGUCUGUCAUAAACACGCUCAUAUGAGACUAAUCCACCUAUCAUAUUGGUUCCUACAUAUUUCACGCAGGUCAUCUAUCGUUUGAACCAUGAUGUCAAGGAUUCAGUUAAUCCCGUAUGCAAUUCUCUUUGUUCGGGAAUAUGUUACUUGUCUGAGAUUCGAUCGUCGGUAUCUCCAUACUGUUGGGGAACAUAGCAGAAAUUCAAAAUUUUCCUACAUGUCACCAAGAUCUAUCUAUGGAGAAACCAGCAACGAGGGGAAGGAGAGUGCAUCUACAUACCCUUGUAGGUCGCUAAGCGGAAGCGUUCAAGAGAACGGGGUUGAAGGAGUCGUACUCGUCGUGAUUCAAAUCACCGGAGAUCCUAGUGCCGAACGGACGACACCUCCGCGUUCAACACACGUACAGCCCGGUGACGUCUCCCACGCCUUGAUCCAGCAAGGAGAGAGGGAGAGGUUGAGGAAGACUCCAUCCAACAGCAGCACAACGGCGUGGUGGUGAUGGAUGAGCGUGGCAAUCCAGCAGGGCUUCGCCAAGCACCACGGGAGAGGAGGAGGAGGAGAGGCGGGGCUACACCAAGAGAGGGAGAAGUUCUCAUGUGUUGGCAGCCCCAAAACCUCAAGUAUAUAUAGGGGGAAGGGGGGCUGCGCCCCCUUUAGGGUUUCCCACCCCAAGGGGUGCGGCCAAGGGGGGAGGAGUGCCUUCCAAGUCAAGUGGAGGUCCUCCCCCUUAGGGUUUCCCCCUUCCCAUGCGCAUGGGCCUUGGGGGGGCUGGUGCCCUUGGCCCAUUAAGGCUAGGACGCCCCCCUACAGCCCAUGCUACUGUAUUGGACGUGGUGGAACAAUUUCCGGACCUCCGGACCCCUCCGGAAUCCUCCGGAACCUUUUGGAAGCUUCCCGGUACAAUACCGAAAAAACCCGAACAUUUCCCGGAACCCGAACAACAACUUUCCAUAUAUAAAUCUUUACCUCCGGACCAUUCCGGAACUCCUCGUGACGUCCGGGAUCUCAUCCGGGACUCCGAACAAUAUUCGGUAACCACAUACAAACUUCCUUUAUAACCCUAGCGUCAUCGAACCUUAAGUGUGUAGACCCUACGGGUUAGGGAGACAUGUAGUCAUGACCGAUACGUUCUCCGGUCAAUAACCAACAGCGGGAUCUGGAUACCCAUGUUGGCUCCCACAUGUUCCACGAUGAUCUCAUCGGAUGAACCACGAUGUCAAGGACUUAAUCAAUCCCGUAUACAAUUCCCUUUGUCUAGCGGUAUUUUACUUGCCCGAGAUUCGAUCGUCGGUAUACCGAUACCUUGUUCAAUCUCGUUACCGGCAAGUCUCUUUACUCGUUCCGUAACACAUCAUCCCGUGAUCAACCCCUUGGUCACAUUGUGCACAUUAUGAUGAUGUCCUACUGAGUGGGCCCAGAGAUACCUCUCCGUUUACACGGAGUGACAAAUCCCAGUCUCGAUCCGCAUAAAACAAUAGAUACUUUCGGAGAUACCUGUAGUGCACCUUUAUAGUCACCCAGUUACGUUGUGACAUUUGAUACACCCAAAGCACUCCUACGGUAUCCAGGAGUUACACGCUCUCAUGGUCAAAGGAAGAGAUACUUGACAUUGGCAAAGCUCUAGCAAACGAACUACACGAUCUUUGUGCUAUGCUUAGGAUUGGGUCUUGUCCAUCACAUCAUUCUCCUAAUGAUGUGAUCCCGUUAUCAACGACAUCCAAUGUCCAUAGCCAGGAAACCAUGACUAUCUGUUGAUCACAACGAGCUAGUCAACUAGAGGCUCACUAGGGACAUAUUGUGGUCUAUGUAUUCACACGUGUAUUACGAUUUCCGGAUAAUACAGUUAUAGCAUGAAUAAAAGACUAUUAUCAUGAACAAAGAAAUAUAAUAAUAACACUUUUAUUAUUGCCUCUAGGGCAUAUUUCCAACACAUACCUCGUUCUAUCUCAUUAUCGACAAGUCUCUUUACUUGUUCUGUAAUACAAGAUCUCAUGACUAACUCAUUAGGGCAUCUCCAGCCAUUGACACCCCCAGGAGGCGUUUUUUUCGCCGCUUGGGGGGCUGCCGGCGAGAUUUUAAGCCUGGGGCUGAAAUUUCUUUCAGUCGUUUGGCCCCCCAGGCAGCAACGAGCCGUCGGAGCAGCGCCAAGCGCGGGAACUGCGCGAGAUGCGAUCACCGGCCGGCCGUUUCCGGCCACGGCUGGUCGCGGGGGUUUGUUCGCUGGAACGCCCGCAGUGCGGCACGUCCAGCAGUGGUCGUUGCAGCCGACAACGUGGGGUGUAGCGGCGGCAGCGACGGGCGGAGAGGCGGCCGUGUUGCGGGUAGCUAGCGACCCAACGGAGCAACGAGGCAGCGUUAGUAGAGCACCCGGAGCACGACGGACAGCUGUGCGUGGCGGGAUGAGCUCGGCAUCAAGCAGAGCAUCGGCCAUGGCGGACGGCAGCGCUCGGUGCUCGCGGGGACGACGGUUACGGCACGAAAUCAAGCGAGAGGGGUGGUUAGCGAGCUCGGGAAGGCGGCCAUGAGGAAGAGCACCGACGCCCAGUGCCCCCACCGCGGCCAGCGAUGCUAGGAGGAGCGGCCGACUCACCGGAACGUGCGCCCAAGCCGGACGGGGCGAGCAGGCAGGGAGCAAAGCGGGCGCGGAGGAAGCCGCGGGAGGCGGAGCCGGCGUGAGCCGACCAGCCGGCGUGCGGGAGGCUGGCCGGGCGAGGCGGCGAGCGGACGGGGCCGGACUCGGCGCCGCUGCUGGAGCCGGACAGGGCGAUGGUGAGGUACAACGCCGGCGCGCGCACCACGGUGUCCCGCGAGGUCUCGGACGAGCGGAGACGUGGCGUCCUCCCCGCGAGCUCCGUUGCGCGCCCCGUCCUUCCUCUUCCGCCAUGGCCGUCGGGGGCACGAAGACAUCGACGCCACCCUCCUUCUCGUCCGGCUCUUCCUCGUAUGCGGGUGCUUCUUGGGCGGGGGCAGGAACUCCCGUGGCCGCGCGCGCCCGUGGCCGCCCUGGCCUUGCCUGCUCCGGCCACGGCCCCGCCUCGCCAGCUCCGGCCAGCGCCCGCCCUGGCCGCGCACAGCGAGCUCCUGCCUCGCCCGCCCAUAGUACAUGGAGAGUAGAACCGGGGAGAGAGGGAGUGUGGGCGUGGAGAGGAGAGAGGGAGUGUGCUGCACGUGGGUGGGCCUGAAGAAGAGAAAGGGGGAGAGAGAGGCUGGCAAGUGGGGCAGCGCCUUCAAAAAGCUAAUGCCGGCGUCCCCAGCUGCCCCCCGGCGAGCUGGGUGCGGGGUGAGCGUGUCGGCGCUAACUUUUGCUAAAUCCGGCGCAAAACGAUGUUUUGGGGCCCUGACUGGGGCGUUUUUUACUCGCCGGCGUCCAAAAAAGCGCCUGGGGGGCUUCUUGGGGGCCUUAGUGGAGAUGCCCUUAGCCACAUUGCUUGCAAGUUCUUUACGAUGUUGUACUACCGAGAGGGCCCAAAAGAUAGCUCUCCUCACACGGAGUGACAAAUCCUAGUCUCGAUCCAUGCCAACCCAACAGGCAUCUUCGGAGAUACCUGUAGAGCAUCUUUAUAAUCAUCCAGUUAUGAAGUGACGUUUGAUAGCACACAAGGUAUUCCUCCGGUAUCCGGGAGUUGCAUGAUCUCAUGGUCUUAGGAAUAGAUAGUUGACAUGAAGAAAGCUAUAGCAAUAAACUCAAGUGAUACGAUCGAAUGUUAAGCUUACGGUUGAGUCUUGUUCAUCACAUCAUUCUUCUAAAGACAUGUACAGUGCUCUCUAGUCAGCUGCCUGCAAGGGAUGACACCUAGGAUUUUGGAUGAGGUGGAGGGAAACUCAGGAAGAGAGAGAAUAAGCCGGUCGAUAAAGAUACAGACGGUCUACAGCCCUGAGAAAUCGGCACCUAUCGACGGCCUAUUACCGUUGUACGAGAGGCCGUCUGCAAUCCAAUACCCCUUCGUACGAAUCCUCUCCCAAUCCUCUUGAUCCUUGAUGGAGACGAAGAUCGCGCGAUUAGCUGCUGCUAGUUGCCGAUGAGAAGCUCCUGAUCGUCGUUGUCGCCGGCGGCAUGGCAGCAUGUGCUCCUCGUGGGCAGAGGUUAUGCCAAGCGGCAACGGUGGUGCUUGACCGGCGCCACGACGCGAUGAUGAGAAUGUCAGAGUUCGCUACCAGGGUGGGCUGUGAAAUUUGGAUCCAUCUCUAUCCAAAUUGUCCUCUCUUGAUGCUGCAACACAGGGCUUCUUGCAGUCGCCGCAUGAACCGAACAUGGCAUCUGCGUAUGGUCGCACAAGUCUCUGUACGACACUUGUUUGCUGAUUUCUGCAAAUUAGAAUCGUUUUAUCUGAUUCAUUUUUGUCAGGGACUAGGAUUGGCGCGUACAUGGACAAAUUUUCCCAUUUUGAUAUUAUAGACACCUAAAAAGCUAACCUGUUGUAUAGGCUGUCUUUAUGCUUGUUUGCAGAUGACGUGGAGAGUUGUUAUAGACAGAUACCGUCUAAACUAUUCUACAUUCCUUAAUGAUGUGAUCCCGUUAUCAAAUGACAACUCAUGUCUAUAGUUAGGAAACCUUAACUAUUUUUAAUCAACAAGCUAGUCUACUAGAGACUCACUAGGGACAUAGUAUUUGUGUAUGUAUUCACACUUGUAUUUAAGUUUCCGGUCAAUACAAUUCUAACAUGAAUAAUAACCUUUAUCAUUAAUAAGAAAAUAUGAUGAUAACCAAUUUAUUAUUGCCUCUAGGGCAUAUUUCCAACAGGUAUCUUACCAGGAUCGACCUUGGAGAAUCGGCCAGACAAAUGCGCAAGCGGGCAUCAAAGCAAUGGACUAAUUUCCGCGGCCAAUUGCGCUGCAAAACGAGCUUUGCGUAAAGUUACGUACUAGCUGAUCUGGAUUAAUUGAAUUGGAUUAGAAAGAGGCUCAGGCCCACCCCCGAAAAUCAGGGGGGGGGGGGGUCAUUAGUUUUAUAGGACGGAAAAGAACGUAAGUUGACGUAGAAGGUUACAUAGGUCUAGUGUUUUCGCUGCAAAACCACCAACAAACAACAAUCCAUGAAUCAGCUCACUAGAGGACAUGUAAAAUCAGUGUGCAGGAAAUGAAACACAGGGAGAACAGAAAUUAUCUUGCCGUUUGGGAAGAGAAGAGCUCACAUCAACCAAUCAACGUGAGGCUGGAAGAGGAAGCGACUUUCGCCGUCGGGGACGAGCGAGGUCAGGCCGCCGGCGCCCCCUCCUUAAUUUCUUUCGGCGGGGAUGAACUGCGUUUUUUUUAGAGAAAGCUGAAGUAUUUGAGUGGAAGUUGGUGGCUGGUUUUGGGAAGCUUCUUGAAGCUUCCAGUCCUUUUUUCCUUGGCCUUUUUUGUUUGGUUUUUCUUAUUUUCCCCUUUUUUGUUUUUCAUAUUUCCAUUUUUUUCUCAAAAUGCAUGAAUUCCUUUCAAACUCAAGAACUUUUUUCAAAUUCGUGAAUGUUUUCCAAAUUUGUUUUUUAAAAUCGUGGGCAUUUUCCAAAUCCGUGAUUUUUCACAUUUGUGAAGUUUUCGCCUAAAAUUCAUGAACAUUUUGUAAUUUUUAUUUUUCCGUAAAUCCAUGAACUUUUUUCAAGUUCGUGGACCUUUUCCAAAUUCAUGAAUUUUUUUGUCCGUGAGCUUUUUCAGUUUUGUGAACUUUUUAAAAUCCACGGACUUUAAAAAUAUCCGUGAUUCUUUUCCCGAAUUCAUGAUUUUUUUUCUCAAAUCUAUAAACCUUUUAUUAAACUAUUUUUUAUGAAACCUUGUCAGAGGGCAGGGAGCUCCCACGUUGCAUACUGAAGAAGAGAGUUGGUCCAAUUAAUGAAGGUACCUGACCCAAAAAUAAUACAAAACUAACAAAAACCACGCACGCAACUGCUGAUUCAGCAUCAUCUUCAGACUUCGUAUGGAAUGCCAUGUUUCAUGGGAGAAGCAGAUAUUGAGAAAUUUGUAGGUGCUUCACAAUGUAUAUUGCCAGAAGAAAGCUAUGAGCUUCAGAUUAGGCACCGAGAGUAUAUAGCAGUUGUGGCUUGGAUCCUGAGUAGACAUGUGAAGGAUAGGGAGCAGGUUCCGAUGAAGGUUGAGAGUGAUGUACAACAAAUUGCAGCAGAUUCAUGGGCUCCAUUAUUGAGCAGGUUAACUCAAUCAGGUUUGCAGCCAUCUGCAUAGCACCUACCUAAAGUGGCGGCAUACAUAUGAUUUGGGGGAAACAAUAAUUUGGGGCAAACAACAGAGUUGAUGUUGUCAUCUUCUCUCUCUCUCUCUCUCUCUCUCUCUCUCCAGUCUUCCCCCAUUUCUUCUUUCCAGAUACAAUAGAGUAGACAGCAAGCAUAAAUCAUGAUACAAGACUAGGGCUAUCAAAGGUAAUAACAAGGUGAAGAAAAUCAUGCAAAAGAUAUAUCAUGAUAAUCAAGCAUAAUAAUAGGUAUUAAACUCCAGAAAGGAUCGAAACCAGGUAGGUAGCUCUAGAUAUUAAAAACAGGUGCUUAUUACUUUCCAGGUUGUCACAUGUCACCCAUCACAACUAAGGAGAAACUUUGGGGUGCAUUUAUUCUCAACUCAUCUACGAUGGAGCUCCAGUUUAUUGGUAGUGGAGAUAGCUAGUGUCCAUCCAUAUCCUUGAUCUUCAGCCUGAGCAUGGCAUUUCU